rnacentral:tRNA from 1 species
AAGACAUUAGUAAAAUAAGGAUUACAUCAUCUUGUCAAGAUGAAAUUGUAGGUUAAAACCCUGCAUGUCUUA